CCUACGGGUGGCAGCAGUGGGGAAUUUUGGACAAUGGGCGCAAGCCUGAUCCAGCUAUUCCGCGUGUGGGAUGAAGGCCCUCGGGUUGUAAACCACUUUUGAAGAGAACGAAAAGACAACUUUUCCUAACGGGUGUUCCUGACCUUACUCCUAGAAUACGGCCCGGCUAAUUCCGGGCUAGCAGCCGCGGUAAUACGUAGGUGGCGAGCGUUAAUCGGAAUUACUGGGUGUAAAGGGUGCGCAGGCGGUUGAGUAAGUCAGAUGUGAAAUCCCGGAGCUUAACUGGAGAACUGCAUAUGUGACUGCUCGACUAGAGUGUGGGAGAGGGAGGUGGAAUUCCACGUGGAGCGGUGAAAUGCGUAGAUAUUAGGAAGAACACCGAUGGCGAAGGCAGCCUGCUGGAACGUAACUGACGCUGAGGCGCGAAAGCGUGGGGAGCAAACAGGAUUAGAUACCCUAGUAGUC
rnacentral:rRNA from 1 species